GGAAGCGUGGCCGAGUGGUUGAAGGCAACAGUCUUGAAAACUGUCGUACCCGAAAGGGUAUCGAAG
rnacentral:tRNA from 1 species